CCUACGGGAGGCAGCAGUGGGGAAUAUUGGACAAUGGGGGCAACCCCGAUCCAGCCAUGCCGCGUGUGUGAAGAAGGCCCUCGGGUUGUAAAGCACUUUCAGUGAGGAAGAACGCCUGGUGGUUAAUACCCAUCAGGAAAGACAUCACUCACAGAAGAAGCACCGGCUAACUCCGUGCCAGCAGCCGCGGUAAUACGGAGGGUGCGAGCGUUAAUCGGAAUUACUGGGCGUAAAGCGCGCGUAGGUGGCUUGAUAAGCCGGUUGUGAAAGCCCCGGGCUCAACCUGGGAACGGCAUCCGGAACUGUCAAGCUAGAGUGCAGGAGAGGAAGGUAGAAUUCACGGUGUAGCGGUGAAAUGCGUAGAGAUCGGGCGGAAUACCAGUGGCGAAGGCGGCCUUCUGGACUGACACUGACACUGAGGUGCGAAAGCGUGGGUAGCAAACAGGAUUAGAUACCCCUGUAGUC
rnacentral:rRNA from 1 species